AGGACGAACGCUGGCGGCGUGCUUAACACAUGCAAGUCGAGCGGAAAGGCCCUUCGGGGUACUCGAGCGGCGAACGGGUGAGUAACACGUGAGUAACCUGCCCUUGGCUCUGGGAUAGCUCCGGGAAACCGGAAUUAAUACCGGAUAUGACUUCGGCCGACAUCGGCUGCGGUGGAAAGAUUUAUCGGCCAGGGAUGGGCUCGCGGCCUAUCAGCUUGUUGGUGGGGUAACGGCCUACCAAGGCGACGACGGGUAGCCGGCCUGAGAGGGCGACCGGCCACACUGGGACUGAGACACGGCCCAGACUCCUACGGGAGGCAGCAGUGGGGAAUAUUGCGCAAUGGGCGAAAGCCUGACGCAGCGACGCCGCGUGGGGGAUGAAGGCCUUCGGGUUGUAAACCCUUUCGGCAGGGACGAAGCGAAAGUGACGGUACCUGCAGAAGAAGCGCCGGCUAACUACGCGCCAGCAGCCGC
rnacentral:rRNA from 1 species